rnacentral:rRNA from 1 species
AGUCGAACGGGUAACGCGGGGGCAACCCUGGCCGACGAGUGGCGAACGGGUGAGUAAUACAUCGGAACAUAUCCAGUAGCGGGGGAUAACCUAUCGAAAGAUGGACUAAUACCGCAUACGAUCUACGGAUGAAAGCAGGGGACCGCAAGGCCUUGCACUAUUGGAGUGGCCGAUGUCGGAUUAGCUAGUUGGUGAGGUAAAGGCUUACCAAGGCGACGAUCCGUAGCUGGUCUGAGAGGACGAUCAGCCACACUGGAACUGAGACACGGUCCAGACUCCUACGGGAGGCAGCAGUGGGGAAUUUUGGACAAUGGGCGCAAGCCUGAUCCAGCCAUGCCGCGUGAGUGAAGAAGGCCUUCGGGUUGUAAAGCUCUUUCGGUGAAGACGAAACGGUUAGCGCUAAUAACGCUGACUAAUGACGGUACUCACAGAAGAAGCACCGGCUAACUACGUGCCAGCAGCCGCGGUAAUACGUAGGGUGCAGGCGUUAAUCGGAAUUACUGGGCGUAAAGCGUGCGCAGGCGGUUUGCUAAGACAGGUGUGAAAUCCCCGAGCUUAACUUGGGAAUUGCGCUUGUAACUGGCAAGCUAGAGUGUGGCAGAGGGGGGUGGAAUUCCACGUGUAGCAGUGAAAUGCGUAGAUAUGUGGAGGAACACCGAUGGCGAAGGCAGCCCCCUGGGUUAACACUGACGCUCAUGCACGAAAGCGUGGGGAGCAAACAGGAUUAGAUACCCUGGUAGUCCACGCCCUAAACUAUGUCAACUAGUUGUCGGGGAAGAAAUUCCUUGGUAACGAAGCUAACGCGUGAAGUUGACCGCCUGGGGGAGUACCGCCCGCAAGGGUUAAAACUCCAAAGGAAUUGACGGGGAACCCGCACAAGCCGGUGGGAUUAUGUGGAUU